CAAGAAUUAUUGGUUAGCACACCUGGCUUCUCCAUGCAUCAAGAGAAACAGACAGUGAAGGAUAUAUCUUCCCUUUUUAGCUUUCAAUUGUCUUCUGGCAUUAGAAUGAAGCAAUUGGAAUCUGACCAGCUGAAGGAAAGCCUUUUCUGCAGCCAGGUAAACACCCAGGAAUGACUUAAGAGACGCUCCACCAGUACAGGCCUCAGCACAGAGUAAGGGUAAGCCAAGCAUACCAUGGAUAAGGAAAGUUCAUGCACUAGGCCAACAGAAGUAUAGUGAGGGUUUAUCCUUUGGCUUUUAGAGUUCUGUCCUGAUUGUGAAAAUUGUGGUUGGAAUUUGAAUUUAGUUCAAGUUUGGUUAAAAUUAUCUUGUCCUGCCUGACCUGAAAAUUGUCCAAUUUGUCUGGAGCUCUUGUCAAUUACAAAAUACAAAAUGACAAAAUCUUGUCUUUUGCAGAAGCCCUGGAACUUUCCCUGAAAUUCUGGGCUGGCUGCCUUCCAGCUGUGAACCAGCUGUGGGGUUCCAGCCCUACAGUGCUAACCCCUCCAAGUUUAUUUUACAAGUGAUCCAUGCUUGUCUCAAGUAGACUGUGCACAAAGAGUGGUUUGGUUACAAAAGAUUUUGAGAGCAAUCCAUACAAUAAUCUGAAUGCAUGCAAGAAUGUUAUCCUGUAGCUGAAUUUAGAGGGAAAAACCCAUCCACUUUUACAGCAUGAGCUAAUGUUUACUAUUGUUAUUAUUAGUGGCCAAAUAAAGUGACAAUUUGCAGCUGACAGAAGUCCAGAGUAAGUAAAAUCAGUCUGAGAUCUGAACCUCAAGUGAUCUGCUUGGCAAUGGUACACAGUUCUCAUCUGGCUGUGUUUUAUGUGCUCUUUACAAAGGUAUCAGUGACCACCUAGUGUGCUAAAUACUGGUCACUCAGCCUUUGGAAUUCAGUUCUCCUCACUAAACUGCCUUCAGGUUUUGAAAAAUCCUUUAGGUCUGUAUCAAGGUCCAUUGUAGAGACCCCAGAAGUGACCUGCUCCAUGGAAUGGUUCUUGGCAGUGACAACACUUGUGUAUGACUGAAUAAGAAAACUGAUCCAGAUGAAUGCACUUACAACAUGCUAUGCAGAAUCAGCUGAAUCCUUUCUAGGUAAUACCAAAUGUGAAAUUCAGAUAGGUGUAACUAAAUUUUGUUACUAGUUUAUAAAUCAUUCUAUGUAUUGUUAUACUGAUAAUUUAUUUGCAAAAGAAAAUGCGGCUCUGCAUGUUUUAUGUUUGUGGUUUGGGAUUAAAACAGGACAAGUGCUUAGCAGGCUUGGCUUGUUUUCUGGAAAUGUUUAUACAGAGGGACAGUCAUAUAGUAUAUCCUCCUUACUAUCCUAU